CCCCCUACGCGGAUAGAGUACGGCCCUCCGAAGGCUGUGGUGUGGGUUCAAUUCCCGCCAGGGGUA
rnacentral:tRNA from 1 species